GUGCUCGCUUUGGCAGCAUAUAUACUAAAACUGGAAUGAUACAGAGAAGAUUAGUAUGGCCCCUGCACAAGGAUGAUGCACAAAUUUGUGAAGUGUUCCAUACAAAA
ensembl:snRNA U6 U6 spliceosomal RNA